GUGUCAGCCGCCGCGGUAAAACGUAGGUGGCGAGCGUUAUCCGGAUUCAUUGGGCGUAAAGAGCUUGUAGGUGGCUGUGUAAGUUGGACGUGAAAGCUCCGGGCUUAACUUGGAGAGGUCGUUCAAUACUGCGCGGCUAGAGGAUGUCAGAGGGGAGUGGAAUUCCUGGUGUAGCAGUGAAAUGCGUAGAUAUCAGGAGGAACACCCGUGGCGAAGGCGGCUCCCUGGGGCAAGCCUGACACUGAGAAGCGAAAGCUGGGGGAGCAAACGGGAUUAGAAACCCUCGUAGUCC
rnacentral:rRNA from 1 species